GCAAACUGAGAAAGCCACAGCCCAUGCAUAGUGGACGUGUGUUGUAAUCCUGCUUGGAUCAGUCUUAGACAGUGUUUCUCUGCUGGCCCAGUGUGUGAACCCUGGGUUGGUGCCCUGUUCCAGAUGGGAAGGCACGAUCAGAAAGGUUUGCCUCAGGACUCACUUUGCCACGCAUCAAGUCUCUGCGCCUCAUGUUCCCUGAUACUACAGAAGGACAUACCUGGACAGAGAGAAACUAAAUAACCUUCCCAUGAUUGUUGAAUGAGGUGUAGAAAAAUCUGGAAAGAGCAUUUUCUGCCUUGGCCUCUUCUUUGCUCCUUUACCUCCUCAGCUGUGUCUAACUCAACUAGAAGACCAAUAUAAACUGAACUGUCAUAUGGUGCUCUUUCUAAAGUGGCAUGGUAGGUUUCUUAAUAUUUGGGCUUAUUUUU
rnacentral:lncRNA from 1 species